AUACGGAGGUUGCAAGCGUUACUCGGAAUCACGGGGCGUAAAGCGCGCGCAGGCGGGCUGAUAAGUUGGAUGUGAAAGCCUACGGCUCAACCGUAGAACUGCAUCCAAAACUGUCAGUCUAGAGUCUGGGAGGGGAAGAUGGAAUUAGUUGUGUAGGGGUAAAAUCCGUAGAGAUAACUAGGAAUACCAAAAGCGAAGGCGAUCUUCUGGAACAGUACUGACGCUGAGGCGCGAAAGCGUGGGGAGCAAACAGGAUUAGAAACCCUAGUAGUCC
rnacentral:rRNA from 1 species